rnacentral:rRNA from 1 species
AUCAACGCCUGGCGGCGUGCCUAACACAUGCAAGUCGAACGCGGUUUUCCCGCAAGGGAAAAACUGAGUGGGCGAACGGGUGAGUAACACGUGGGUGGACCUACCUUCGAGUGGGGGAUAACGUCCCGAAAGGGACGCUAAUACCGCAUAACAUCCUGCCGUUGAAUACGGUGGAGAUCAAAGCCGGGGAUCGUAAGACCUGGCGCUUGAUUGAGGGGCCCGCGUUCCGAUUAGCUAGUUGGUGAGGUAAUGGCUCACCAAGGCGACGAUCGGUAGCCGGCCUGAGAGGGGCGGACGGCCACACUGGGACUGAGACACGGCCCAGACUCCUACGGGAGGCAGCAGUGGGGGAAUUGUUCGCAAUGGGCGCAAGCCUGACGACGCAACGCCGCGUGGAGGAUGAAGGUCUUCGGAUUGUAAACUCCUGUUGCCAGGGACGAAUGGCCACGACCUAACACGUCGUGGUGUGACGGUACCUGGUGAGGAAGCCCCGGCUAACUCUGUGCCAGCAGCCGCGGUAAUACAGAGGGGGCAAGCGUUGGUUCGGAAUUACUGGGCGUAAAGGGGCGCGUAGGCGGCCUGUUAAGUCGAACGUGAAAUCCCCGGGCUCAACCCGGGAAACUGCGUCCGAUACUGGCAGGCUUGAAUCCGGGAGAGGGAUGCGGAAUUCCAGGUGUAGCGGUGAAAUGCGCAGAUAUCUGGAGGAACACCGGUGGCGAAGGCGGCAUCCUGGACCGGUAUUGACGCUGAGGCGCGAAAGCCAGGGGAGCAAACGGGAUUAGAUACCCCGGUAGUCCUGGCCCUAAACGGUGAAUGCUUGGUGUGGCGGGUAUCGAUCCCUGCCGUGCCGAAGCUAACGCAUUAAGCAUUCCGCCUGGGGAGUACGGUCGCAAGGCUGAAAACUCAAAGGAAUUGACGGGGGCCCGCACAAGCGGUGGAGCAUGUGGUUUAAUUCGACGCAACGCGAAGAAACCUUACCCAGGCUCGAACGGCAUCUGACAUCCUACGAAAGUAGGCUUCCCGCAAGGGCAGAUGUCGAGGUGCUGCAUGGCUUGUCGUCAGCUCGUGUCGUGAGAUGUUGAGUUAAGUCCCGCAACGAGCGCAAACCCUUGUCUUCUGUUUGCCAUCGGGUUAUGCCGGGCACUCUGAAGAGACUUGCCGGUGACAAACCGGAGGAAGGUGGGGGACGACGUCAAGUCAGCAUGGCCUUUUAUGUCUGGGGCCACAACACGUGCUACAAUGGCAGGUACAAAACCGUCGCGAGACCGCAAAGGUGGAGCUAAUCGGAGAAAAGCCUGUCUCAGUUCGGAUUGUAGGCUGCAACUCGCCUGCCAUGAAGUUGGAAAUCGCUAGUAAUCGCGGAUCAGCACGCCGCGGUGAAUACGUUCCCGGGCCUUGUACACACCGCCCCGUCACAUCACGAAAGCUGGCUGUACUAGAAGUAGCUGAGCCAACCCGCAAGGGAGGCAGGUUCCUAAGGUAUGGUCAGUGAUUGGGGUG